rnacentral:lncRNA from 1 species
UUGUUUUUUCUUAUAUCAAUUCAUUUUCAUAGAAAUCAAACACAAAUAGAUUUAUAUGACCAAUAUAGCAUAUUCAACACAUAUUACCAAUAGUCAUGAACACAUAUGUAUCCAACACAUGUUACCAAUAGUAGCAAGUUUCAUCCGUACAUAUACAUAGUUUCAUCAAUAUUACACAGUUUCAUCCAUAGGUAGCAAGUUUCACAAGGUCAAAACAAAAACUCGACCAUAACGAGGACCAUAACGUAGUCGUUGGCCCAACUCGGCUGCACCACACCGAGGCACUAUUGUUCCAUCGAGCUCGACCAUGUGCGGGGCUUCGUCAUCGUCAUGGAGGUCCCGGUGGUCGUCCUGGUCCCUAGAAAGUGCACCUUAUUAUUUCAUUUCAGAGAAAGCGUGAAACACGAAUGGCAUGUAUGUAGAUCCCCAGGACAAGCAAACUUAGCUAGUAAAUAUGAACAAGGACUACUAUAGCAUAGGAUGUAAGUACUGGUGACUACUAGACCUAUAUUAAAAGUAAACAGAACUAGCUCGGAUAACAACUCUAUAGCACUAAUGUUGAUGCAUUCAAGUUACUACCAUUCAAGUAUGCAUACAUAUCAUAAUGUUCCAAGUAUGCAUACAUAUCAUACACAUCAGUGACGUUAACUUGUUCAUAAGAUUCAUAACACUAAGUGCCAAAUCCAUUGAUUUGUAUAAGAAGGUGCCAUAUCCAUUAAUUCACAUGCAAAGGCAAAGAGUGCUGCUGAAAUUAACAAUGCGUGCUUCAUCAAAUUUUCUUAAUUAACAGUGCCAAGUUAAUAAGUGCCUUGCUUGUGUAGAUCCAUUAAUUCAUGUUAAUCAGGAAACAAUGCACCCAAAUCACAAAAUCAAAACACGCAAUGUUAAAAUACAUGGACAAAGUGCCAACAUAUGAUAUGAUUUUCUUGAACUGUGCAAGCAGCAUCACAGAUAACUCUUAUGAACAUAUGAACCUGUGCCAAAUACAAUAUAUGAAUAAAGUGCGAAGCAACAUCAUGGGCAAAAAUUACAAAAAAACAUGGUGGAAUAGAGGGGAUGGGGAGAAGCAAAGCCUCACUGGAUGUUAAGGAGGAGCACGAGGAAGUGGUGCCGCAGGCCCCGCACUGACGGCGGGCGGGCGGGCGGCCUCCAGGCCAGGGGGUUGCCAGUGAGAUCCAGGAGGAUGGUCAGGUCGCCGUCGGGCGUCGGCCUGCUCCCUCCUCUUCUCUUGCCCUGCUCAUUCCAUCCUCGUCUGGGAGGCCGAGGACGCGUUGAUCAUGGUCAUGGCGGUUGACGGUCCAGAUCUGGAAAAAGGUAAGAGAGGUGAGGGAAAUUGGAAGCUGAAACAAACAGUUUUUCCUUCAAGUAGAAACUUCUUUUUUGCCUUCAUUACCUCACAGAUUCAAAUACAAAGGUAGGCACCCUGACUCGAUGUUAACCACAACAUGCCUCCUCACAACACAAGCAAAACCAACUCAUCAGACCUGCAAUCAGGAUAACAACAUAUCAUUCAGAGUUCAAACCGAGUAAACAAACAUAAGUAGCAGGCACUAGGGCAUCCAAAGUUUAACUAUGUCAAGAGCUAAAAACAAUCAGCACGUCAUAUAUGGCAAUCUGCAAGAGCUAAAACAAGAGCCAAAUAGAGAGGCCAAGCCUUUCUCCCUUACAAGACAGUGUCGUAAAAUGACCAAGAACAAAUACCGUCUGAUUCCAAAAUAAAGAUGUGAGAGUCUACAUCAAUUAUAAAUUCAAAGUGAACAUUUUAUCAAAGAAAC